rnacentral:rRNA from 1 species
UGGGGAAUCUUGGGCAAUGGGCGAAAGCCUGACCCAGCGACGCCGCGUUGGGGAUGAAGCCCUUCGGGGUGUAAACCCAUGUUGUAGGGGACGAAGAAAGUGACGGUACCCUACGAGGAGGCCCCGGCUAACUACGUGCCAGCAGCCGCGGUAAGACGUAGGGGGCAAGCGUUGUCCGGAAUUACUGGGCGUAAAGGGCACGCAGGCGGUGCGCCAAGUCGAGGGUGUAAAGUUACGGCUCAACCGUGACAUUGCAAUCGAUACUGGCGCGCUGGAGUGCGGGAGAGGGAAGUGGAAUUCCCGGUGUAGCGGUGAAAUGCGUAGAUAUCGGGAGGAACGCCAGUGGCGAAGGCGGCUUCCUGGCCCGCGACUGACGCUCAUGUGCGAAAGCCAGGGGAGCGAACC